UAGUGCUUCAGCACUUAUGGAUGCCCCACCCUGCGCCACGCGCAGGGUCUUAUGCAGACCACACACGGUUGAGUGAUCGAUGUUGUGCCAGAAACAGCACAACCCGCAUUGCCUGGUGAGCAUCACCAGAAACUACUUCUUCCCGAUUGGCUGUAUUGCCCCACCGGCAGUACGGCAACCCGUCAAAGCCUGAUGACCAUAGCGAGUCGGUCCCACCCCUUCCCAUCCCGAACAGGACCGUGAAACGACUCCACGCCGAUGAUAGUGCGGAUUGCCCGUGUGAAAGUAGGUAAUCGUCAGGC
rnacentral:rRNA from 1 species